AGGACAAGGUGGAAGCCAGGGCCACUGGGUGCAGAGCCUAGAGCUUUACUCCCUGAGGCGGGGACGGCCUGCCCUCCUCACUCCCUCUGUCGGGGCUGACGGCCUGCCCCUGCCUGGAGGGCACUUCUGGAGGAGGGAGGGAGGAAAUGCAUCUGUAGGAGGCCUGUGUGGCUCCGGGAGGUCUGAGGCUCCUGUUGCCUGCGGAGGUGGAGAGUGGCUGUGAGUAGCAAUGUCCCUGCGUGUUGAAGUGGCAGCUUGAAGUGAGCCGGGGUCACCCUGACUUGUCUAACACUUGAGAUCUGACUCUGGGUGGGGGAGUAGGAACGUAAUUACCAGUUGAUAAACAUGAAGCUGGGGAAAAUGCAUGCAAGAGGGGUGGGCUUUCUCGAGAGCUGACGCGGACGGCCGGGCUGUGUGACAGCCCCGUUCACCAGGAACGUGGUGAGGGCCUGGCAGCACCGGCCCUCCCCAGGCGUGUGCUUCUUAAAAAUCACUGUAGAGCGGCAAGGGCGCAGUGUCCUCGGGCCGGCGGACUGUCGGGAGCGCAGCAGGCUGCUUUUCAAAUGGAACUGAUGGGAAGCGCGCCGUACAGAAGGCAAGGCCGGGCUGCUGCGUCCCCCGGGAACCUCCUGUACCCUGGACAUGGGGUGAAGGGUCUUCAGAGCUACUGCCUCAGAAGGUGCCUACUCAGUAGCUUUCCCGUCUGAUCUUACAGCUCUGUUCAAGAGAAACGCCACCGUCUCAGAGGCCGCGAAUCCCCCGACAUGGGCUCUGAGCCUCCCACAGACACCUGCAGCCCCAUCUUGAGUUGUCCAUGCUGGCUGCCAGCCAGAAUCCUGUCAUCCGUGUAAGACGUUUCAGAUGGCUGGAGUGCAGUGGCUCAACCUCAGCGCACUGCAACGUCCGCCUCCC